rnacentral:rRNA from 1 species
AGCGAACGCUGGCGGCAGGCUUAACACAUGCAAGUCGAGCGCCCCGCCAGGGGAGCGGCAGACGGGAGAGUAACACGUGGGAACAUACCUUUUGGUUCGGAACAACUGAGGGAAACUUCAGCUAAUACCGGAUAAGCCCUUACGGGGAAAGAUUUAUCGCCGAAAGAUUGGCCCGCGUCUGAUUAGCUAGUUGGUGCGGUAACGGCUCACCAAGGCGACGAUCAGUAGCUGGUCUGAGAGGAUGAUCAGCCUCACUGGGACUGAGACACGGCCCAGACUCCUACGGGAGGCAGCAGUGGGGAAUAUUGGACAAUGGGGGCAACCCUGAUCCAGCCAUGCCGCGUGAGUGAUGAAGGCCUUAGGGUUGUAAAGCUCUUUUGCCCGGGAAGAUAAUGACGGUACCGGGAGAAUAAGCCCCGGCUAACUUCGUG